CGUGCCCAAUUUCGCACGUGCCUGUGGUCGUGUGUCAGUCGGUGGGUAUCCGGACAAGAGGCCGGACAGCCGCCAAGGGGACGAAGAACCGAGGGUCGUUUAGCCGAAAGGCUGAAAGGCCAGCAUCUCUCUCAAGGGGUGCCGUUGAAGGUGACUUUGCUCCUUGCAACCGUGACUGACAGCCGGAGGCGAACCGGCGCACCCCGCUCUCAACGGGGGACGCGACUUAAAGCAACGACGGAGCGGGCUUUUUUGGUCUCUGUUGGCUUUCCACCAGCCAGCGCGAAUACCGAAGAGGCUUGUCCUUCAUUGCCAGGCGUGCGGUCGGGAAUUUUCCCAACCAAUCCACGGCAGCACAGUCCGAUCUGAGGAUCGGCCAUCGUCGCGUCUCCAUCGUGCGACAUGGCUGAGGUUCUUGG
rnacentral:misc_RNA from 1 species